UGUAUUUUCAGAGCCAGAGUGUGUUAUUUAGUGGGGUUUGAAGCAAAAUAAUUUGAGUAACGUAGGUUGACUGAGGAUUUCUUAGAGGGUUUUGCAUCUGAUAUUUUAAUAUGCAACAGGAUCAAUGUUUUUCUAUUAUUUAUGCUUACAAAUAUUAAGAUAAUCAGCCUGCAUAGGGGCAUUUGGAACAACUAAAUGUAUUGAUUUAAAACGUUUAACCUUUGUUUUACUAUAUAGUUUAAAAAUGUAUUACUUGUUUGUCAGGAUUUAUACAAUAUAAUCAUGAUACAUAUUCAUUUAAAAAUGUAUUCACAUGAAAUAACACAUACAAUAAUUUCAAAAUGUAUCUGAUUAUAAAUGUAUAAAUCUCUUAAUUUGUAACUGCUCAAGUGUCUGCAUGUUAUAUACAAGUGAAUGGCACUCAUUAAUGUCCUUUAUUGUUUUAGACAUCACUAAUUAGGGAUCCUUAAACACAUUAUAUUCUGGAAUGGCUAAACUGUUAAUGAAAAUCUACUUCUUAGAUAAUAUGAGCUUUAAAAUUGGUUUCCAUCUUUAUGAUAUACAUCUUUGACAUGGGAUUAUUCACUUAAUAUUUGACCUAAUUUUUGAAUUAAUUUGGCAGAAGUCCUCCAAUCCACCAUCAGCGAGACUGAACUCCUCCAGUCCAGCUACAGAUAAGCUGCUGACCCAUUUCAGAGGAGGAACAUUGGCCAUGACCCAAAAGGACCACUAAAUCCUCAACUUUUUCUUGACACUUCUGCGGUGAGAAAAAUUCCCUAACAAAAAAAACGGUCAUAUCCAGAGAUGGCUUCAGCUUGCUCCGGAUUGGGAUGGAGGAAGAAGAGAACGGCUGAAGAGAAAGGAGAUGAUAAAUAGCUGUGCCUCUCAUUUAGAGCCUCAAUAGCUUAUGCGUGCGAACACAUACGAAAUACAUUCAUUUCCUUUUCAUGUGCACACACGCAGUUAUGUGUUAUGUUGUUUAUAAAGUUUAAUUUUGUCUUUCUUUGGUUUAUAACGUUUUCAUUUAGUCCGUAUUCGGUUUCAUUUUUUCAAGUGUUAAGGUACUGUUCAUUUAAAGUCUAAAGGUUUCCGUUUUACAUAAAAAUAUGUUCAACACAAUGUGUUCACUUUAUUUUUAUUUGUAAAUAAAAAAUGUUUAUUGAAAAACAA